rnacentral:rRNA from 1 species
AAAGCCUGAUCCAGCCAUGCCGCGUGUGUGAAGAAGGUCUUCGGAUUGUAAAGCACUUUAAGUUGGGAGGAAGGGUUUCUGGCUAAUAUCCAGGAAUUUUGACGUUACCGACAGAAUAAGCACCGGCUAACUUCGUGCCAGCAGCCGCGGUAAUACGAAGGGUGCAAGCGUUAAUCGGAAUUACUGGGCGUAAAGCGCGCGUAGGCGGAUCGAUCAGUUAGGGGUGAAAUCCCGGGGCUCAACCCCGGAACUGCCUCUAAUACUGUCGAUCUCGAGUUCGAGAGAGGUGAGUGGAAUUCCGAGUGUAGAGGUGAAAUUCGUAGAUAUUCGGAGGAACACCAGUGGCGAAGGCGGCUCACUGGCUCGAUACUGACGCUGAGGUGCGAAAGCGUGGGGAGCAAACA